rnacentral:rRNA from 1 species
AUACGUAGGUCCCGAACGUUGCGCGAAAUUACUGGGCGUAAAGGGUCCGUAGGCGGUCUGGUAAGUGGAAGGUGAAAGCCUGGGGCUCAACUCCAGAAUUGCCUUCCAAACUGCCGGACUUGAGGCUGGGAGAGGUCGGCGGAAUUCCCGGUGUAGUGGUGAAAUGCGUAGAUAUCGGGAGGAACACCAGUGGCGAAGGCGGCCGACUGGAACUGUCCUGACGCUGAGGGACGAAAGCCAGGGGAGCGAACCGGAUUAGAUACCCUAGUAGUCC